rnacentral:tRNA from 1 species
AUCUUUCUCGCCAUAGGUAGAGCAUGAGACUCUUAAUCUCAGGGUUGUGGGUUCAAGCCCCACGUUGGGCA